UACGUAGGGGGCAGGCGUUGUCCGGAAUUAUUGGGCGUAAAGAGCUCGUAGGCGGUCUGUUGCGUCGGCUGUGAAAACCCGGGGCUCAACUCCGGGCCUGCAGCCGAUACGGGCAGACUAGAGUUCGGCAGGGGAGACUGGAAUUCCUGGUGUAGCGGUGAAAUGCGCAGAUAUCAGGAGGAACACCGGUGGCGAAGGCGGGUCUCUGGGCCGAUACUGACGCUGAGGAGCGAAAGCGUGGGGAGCGAACAGG
rnacentral:rRNA from 1 species